rnacentral:rRNA from 1 species
ACGACUCUCGGCAACGGAUAUCUCGGCUCUCGCAUCGAUGAAGAACGCAGCGAAAUGCGAUACUUGGUGUGAAUUGCAGAAUCCCGUGAACCAUCGAGUUUUUGAACGCAAGUUGCGCCCAAAGCCUUUCGGUCGAGGGCACGUCUGCCUGGGUGUCACGCAACAU